rnacentral:rRNA from 1 species
UACGUAGGGCGCAAGCGUUAUCCGGAAUUAUUGGGCGUAAAGAGCUCGUAGGCGGUUUGUCGCGUCUGCCGUGAAAGUCCGGGGCUCAACUCCGGAUCUGCGGUGGGUACGGGCAGACUAGAGUGCAGUAGGGGAGACUGGAAUUCCUGGUGUAGCGGUGAAAUGCGCAGAUAUCAGGAGGAACACCGAUGGCGAAGGCAGGUCUCUGGGCUGUAACUGACGCUGAGGAGCGAAAGCAUGGGGAGCGAAUGGG